rnacentral:rRNA from 1 species
GACGAACGCUGGCGGCGUGCCUAAUACAUGCAAGUCGACCUUAGUGGCGAACGGGUGAGUAACACGUGGGUAACCUGCACAUCAGAAGGGGAUAACACUUGGAAAAAGGUGCUAAUACCGUAUACUGAUGGAUGGACCAGCGGUGCAUUAGCUAGUAGGUGGGGUAAAGGCGCACCUAGGCGACGAUCCCUAGCUGGUCUGAGAGGAUGACCAGCCACACUGGAACUGAGACACGGUCCAGACUCCUACGGGAGGCAGCAGUGGGGAAUAUUGCACAAUGGGCGCAAGCCUGAUGCAGCCAUGCCGCGUGUGUGAAGAAGGUCUUCGGAUUGUAAAGCACUUUAAGUUGGGAGGCGUUACCAACAGAAUAAGCACCGGCUAACUUCGUGCCAGCAGCCGCGGUAAUAC